rnacentral:tRNA from 1 species
AGAAUAUUAAGUUAAUAUAAACUAUAAGUCUUCAAAACUUAAAAUUUUAUUCUG